UUGUUGCUGUCGCUGUCAUUGUUGCUGUCUGUAUGCUGGUCGAGGCUCUGCCGUGUGUCAGUGGGGGAGUGUGACACAGCCAGUCCCACUAUGCCUGGGCUCAGUGUGUUCCUGCCCAUUACAGCCAAGGUGGCCGCCGACAGCACCAACAGAUUCCCCAGGAACUCCAGGUAACCCCACCUGUAUGAAUGCGUACAGCAGCGUCAGUGGCAGCAGCACCACCCCAGCGAAGGGCAUGGCCACCAGAACGAUGAUGCAGACCUCCAGCAGUUUGAACAGGAAAUUGGAGAAAGAGUGGAGAGAGUUCACGAAACAGCUGUGGGUUGAAUGUGAACCCAUGCUGGGGUGGUUUAGACCGUUGGACCUCCCAGGCCACGGUCAGAUACCCCGGGUUGACACACUGCCGUGACCUAUCAAGUGACACGCCCUACCUACUGAGCUACCGGAGU